rnacentral:rRNA from 1 species
UAGCUAGUUGGUAGGGUAAGAGCCUACCAAGGCGACGAUCGGUAGCUGGUCUGAGAGGAUGACCAGCCACACUGGAACUGAGACACGGUCCAGACUCCUACGGGAGGCAGCAGUGGGGAAUAUUGGACAAUGGGGGGAACCCUGAUCCAGCAAUGCCGCGUGUGUGAAGAAGGCCUGAGGGUUGUAAAGCACUUUCAGUGGGGAGGAGGAUUGAUAGGUUAAGAGCUAAUUAAUUGGACGUUACCCACAGAAGAAGCACCGGCUAACUCCGUGCCAGCAGCCGCGGUAAUACGGAGGGUGCGAGCGUUAAUUGGAAUUACUGGGCGUAAAGGGUGCGUAGGUGGUUUGAUAAGUUAUCUGUGAAAUUCCUGGGCUUAACCUGGGACGGUCAGAUGAUACCGUUGGACUCGAGUAUGGGAGAGGGUAGUGGAACUUCCGGUGUAGCGGUGAAAUGCGUAGAGAUCGGAAGGAACACCAGUGGCGAAGGCGGCUACCUGGCCUAAUACUGACACUGAGGCACGAAAGCGUGGGGAGCAAACAGGAUUAGAUACCCUGGUAGUCCACGCCGUAAACGAUGUCAACUAGCUGUUGGUUAUAUGAAUAUAAUUAGUGGCGC